rnacentral:rRNA from 1 species
GGCGAGUGGCGAACGGGUGAGUAACAUAUCGGAACGUGCCCUGGAGUGGGGGAUAACUAGUCGAAAGAUUAGCUAAUACCGCAUACGAUCUACGGAUGAAAGUGGGGGAUCGCAAGACCUCAUGCUCGUGGAGCGGCCGAUAUCUGAUUAGCUAGUUGGUGGGGUAAAGGCCUACCAAGGCAUCGAUCAGUAGCUGGUCUGAGAGGACGACCAGCCACACUGGGACUGAGACACGGCCCAGACUCCUACGGGAGGCAGCAGUGGGGAAUUUUGGACAAUGGGCGCAAGCCUGAUCCAGCAAUGCCGCGUGAGUGAAGAAGGCCUUCGGGUUGUAAAGCUCUUUUGUCAGGGAAGAAACGGUGGGGGCUAAUAUCCCUUGCUAAUGACGGUACCUGAAGAAUAAGCACCGGCUAACUACGUGCCAGCAGCCGCGGUAAUACGUAGGGUGCAAGCGUUAAUCGGAAUUACUGGGCGUAAAGCGUGCGCAGGCGGUUGUGCAAGACCGAUGUGAAAUCCCCGGGCUUAACCUGGGAAUGGCAUUGGUGACUGCACGGCUAGAGUGUGUCAGAGGGGGGUAGAAUUCCACGUGUAGCAGUGAAAUGCGUAGAGAUGUGGAGGAAUACCGAUGGCGAAGGCAGCCCCCUGGGAUAACACUGACGCUCAUGCACGAAAGCGUGGGGAGCAAACAGGAUUAGAUACCCUGGUAGUCCACGCCCUAAACGAUGUCAACUAGUUGUCGGGUCUUAAUUGACUUGGUAACGCAGCUAACGCGUGAAGUUGACCGCCUGGGGAGUACGGUCGCAAGAUUAAAACUCAAAGGAAUUGACGGGGACCCGCACAAGCGGUGGAUGAUGUGGAUUAAUUCGAUGCAACGCGAAAAACCUUACCUACCCUUGACAUGGCAGGAAUCCCGGAGAGAUUCGGGAGUGCUCGAAAGAGAACCUGCACACAGGUGCUGCAUGGCUGUCGUCAGCUCGUGUCGUGAGAUGUUGGGUUAAGUCCCGCAACGAGCGCAACCCUUGUCAUUAGUUGCUACGAAAGGGCACUCUAAUGAGACUGCCGGUGACAAACCGGAGGAAGGUGGGGAUGACGUCAAGUCCUCAUGGCCCUUAUGGGUAGGGCUUCACACGUCAUACAAUGGUACAUACAGAGGGCCGCCAACCCGCGAGGGGGAGCUAAUCCCAGAAAGUGUAUCGUAGUCCGGAUUGCAGUCUGCAACUCGACUGCAUGAAGUUGGAAUCGCUAGUAAUCGCGGAUCAGCAUGUCGCGGUGAAUACGUUCCCGGGUCUUGUACACACCGCCCGUCACACCACGGGAGCGGGUUUUACCAGAAGUAGGUAGCUUAACCGCAAGGAGGGCGCUU